GGGAAACCGGGGCUNAUACCGCAUAAUAUCCUUGGAACGGAAGUCCUGGGGAUCAAAGGAGCAAUUCGCUUAAGGAGGAGGUCGCGGCUGAUUAGCUAGUUGGCGGGGUAAUGGCCCACCAAGGCAAAGAUCGGUAGCCGGCCUGAGAGGGCGCACGGCCACACUGGAACUGAAACACGGUCCAGACUCCUACGGGAGGCAGCAGUGGGGAAUUUUGCGCAAUGGGGGAAACCCUGACGCAGCAACGCCGCGUGGAGGAUGAAGUCCCUUGGGACGUAAACUCCUUUCGACCCGGACGAUA
rnacentral:rRNA from 1 species